UACGUAGGGUGCGAGCGUUGUCCGGAAUUAUUGGGCGUAAAGGGCUCGUAGGUGGCCAACUAAGUCAGACGUGAAAUCCCUCAGCUUAACUGGGGAACUGCGUCUGAUACUGGAUGGCUUGAGUUUGGGAGAGGGAUGCGGAAUUCCAGGUGUAGCGGUGAAAUGCGUAGAUAUCUGGAGGAACACCGGUGGCGAAGGCGGCAUCCUGGACCAAUACUGACACUGAGGAGCGAAAGCCAGGGGAGCAAACGGG
rnacentral:rRNA from 1 species